UAGAAAAUUUGGAAUAAAAAGCACCAUAGGAGCAAUCGACUGCACGUAUAUUGCUAUCAUUGCUCCACCAUCAAAUAAUGUCGAACGUCCUCUUAAUUUAUAUUUAAAUAGAAAAGGAUUCUACAGUAUCAAUGUUGAAGCAGUUUGCGAUCACCGAUUAUGUUUUACAUUUGUAAAUGCUAAAUUUCCGGGUGCAACACAUUACUCUGGAAUUUGGGCAACUUCUGAAUUAAUACGUCUGAGCAACAACGGAGAGAAUCUUGGCUUCUUGGCGAUCAAGGUUAUCCUCUAGAACCAUGCGGGCUUUUAACACCAGUGGGAACACCUAAUACCCAUAAAGAGCAAAAAUACAACAAAUUACAUGGUUCUGCAAGAAACUGCAUAGAGAGAGCAUUUGGUGUUUUAAAAUCUCGCUUCAGAUGUUUGUUGAAGCACCGAGUUCUACAUUAUUCACACGAAACUUCCGCUAAUAUAAUGACGAAAGCAGGCAUUACGUUCAACGAAAUAGAUGACGGGGUUGCAGAAGACUUUGAUUCUCCAAUUAAUGAUUAUAACUCUUCACAGUACAUGCGCGAAGGUGAAAGAACAAGAUCAAGAUAUAUAUCAACUCUUUAGUUAUAUACAUAUAUACAGAGUCUAAUCCAUAUACUUAUGUACAUAUAUAAAUGUUCUCACAAUUCGACCUUCGAAAUACACUACUUACUUCCA